rfam:Solanum tuberosum cultivar DM 1-3 516 R44 scf00451_49, whole genome shotgun sequence.
GAAUCUCAGUAGCGGAUAUCUCGGCUCUUGCAUCGAUGAAUAAUCUAGCGAAAUGUGAUACUUGGUGCAGAAUCCCGUGAAUCAUGGAGUCUUUGAACGCAAGUUGCGCCAGAAGCCAUUGGGUCGAGGGCAAGUCUGCCUAGGUGUCA